rnacentral:rRNA from 1 species
UACGAAGGGGGCUAGCGUUGCUCGGAAUCACUGGGCGUAAAGCGCACGUAGGUGGGUCGUUAAGUCGGGGGGUGAAAUCCUGGAGCUCAACUCCAGAACUGCCUUCGAUACUGGCGAUCUUCGAGUCCGGGAGAGGUGAGUGGAACUGCGAGUGUAGAGGUGAAAUUCGUAGAUAUUCGGAGAAGACACCAGUGGCGAAGGCGGCUCACUGGUCCAUUACUGACGCUGAGGUGCGAAAGCGUGGGGAGCAAACAGG